CUGGCGGCACGCCUAACACAUGCAAGUCGAACGCAGUAGCAAUACUGAGUGGCAAACGGGUGAGUAUAAUGUGGGAAUCUGCCUUUUGGUUCGGAAUAACACGAGGAAACUUGCGCUAAUACCGGGAUAAGCCCUAACGGGGAAAGUUUUAAUGCCAAAAGAUGAGCCCGCACUUGAUUAGCUAGUUGGUAAGGUAAUGGCUUACCAAGGCAACGAUCAAUAGCUGCCCCUUAGAGGAAGACCAGCCACAUUGGGACUGAGACACGGCCAAACUCC
rnacentral:rRNA from 1 species